CCUACGGGAGGCAGCAGUGGGGAAUAUUGCACAAUGGGCGCAAGCCUGAUGCAGCGACGCCGCGUGGGGGAUGACGGCCUUCGGGUUGUAAACUCCUUUCGUUAGGGACGAAGCCGCACUUUUUUUGGGUGUGGUGACGGUACCUUUGUUAAGAAGCACCGGCUAACUACGUGCCAGCAGCCGCGGUAAUACGUAGGGUGCGAGCGUUGUCCGGAAUUACUGGGCGUAAAGAGCUCGUAGGUGGUUUGUUGCGUCGUCUGUGAAAUUCCGGGGCUUAACUUCGGGGUGGCAGGCGAUACGGGCAUAACUAGAGUGCUGUAGGGGAGACUGGAAUUCCUGGUGUAGCGGUGGAAUGCGCAGAUAUCAGGAGGAACACCGAUGGCGAAGGCAGGUCUCUGGGCAGUAACUGACGCUGAGGAGCGAAAGCAUGGGGAGCGAACAGGAUUAGAUACCCUGGUAGUCCAUGCUGUAAACGGUGGGCGUUAGGUGUGGGGACUGGUUUUGGUUUCUGUGCCGUAGCUAACGCAUUAAGCGCCCCGCCUGGGGAGUACGGCCGCAAGGCUAAAACUCAAAGGAAUUGACGG
rnacentral:rRNA from 1 species